CCUACGGGCGGCUGCAGUGAGGACUAUUGGUCAAUGUGCGGGAGCCUGAACCAGCCAAGUCGCGUGAGGGAAGACGGUCCUAUGGAUUGUAAACCUCUUUAGGCGGGGAGCAAUGCAGGGCACGCGUGCCCGGAGGGAGAGUACCCGCAGAAUAAGCAUCGGCUAACUCCGUGCCAGCAGCCGCGGUAAUUCGGAGGAUGCGAGCGUUAUCCGGAUUUAUUGGGUUUAAAGGGUGCGUAGGCGGAUUUUUAAGUCAGCGGUAAAAUGUCCGGGCUCAACCCGGGCCGGCCGUUGAAACUGGGGAGCUUGAGUGGGCGAGAAGUAUGCGGAAUGCGUGGUGUAGCGGUGAAAUGCAUAGAUAUCACGCAGAACUCCGAUUGCGAAGGCAGCAUACCGGCGCCCGACUGACGCUGAGGCACGAAAGCGUGGGGAUCGAACAGGAUUAGAUACCCCAGUAGUC
rnacentral:rRNA from 1 species